rnacentral:misc_RNA from 1 species
AAGUCGUAACAAGGUAACCGUAGGUGAACCUGCGGUUGGAUCAUUAAUGUCUAUUAUAGUCUCUGGGUAAAUAGUUAACUGUAUGGUUAAUUUACCCAUGAUGGCUAUUAACACCUGUGCACUUUGAUGUAUCUUGGGUAAUUAUUACCCAAAAUUGAUUAAAACCCCUAUUGAUUAUGUCUGAAAAUUUAUAUUAAAUAUAAACAACUUUUGACAACGGAUCUCUAGGCUCUC